rnacentral:rRNA from 1 species
UCUCCUACGGGGNNCAGCAGUGGGGAAUAUUGCACAAUGGGCGCAAGCCUGAUGCAGCCAUGCCGCGUGUAUGAAGAAGGCCUUCGGGUUGUAAAGUACUUUCAGUCGUGAGGAAGGUGGUGUUGUUAAUAGCAGCAUCAUUUGACGUUAGCGACAGAAGAAGCACCGGCUAACUCCGUGCCAGCAGCCGCGGUAAUACGGAGGGUGCGAGCGUUAAUCGGAAUUACUGGGCGUAAAGCGCAUGCAGGUGGUUCGUUAAGUCAGAUGUGAAAGCCCGGGGCUCAACCUCGGAACUGCAUUUGAAACUGGCGGACUAGAGUACUGUAGAGGGGGGUAGAAUUUCAGGUGUAGCGGUGAAAUGCGUAGAGAUCUGAAGGAAUACCAGUGGCGAAGGCGGCCCCCUGGACAGAUACUGACACUCAGAUGCGAAAGCGUGGGGAGCAAACAGGAUUAGAUACCCUGGUAGUCCACGCCGUAAACGAUGUCUACUUGGAGGUUGUGGCCUUGAGCCGUGGCUUUCGGAGCUAACGCGUAAAGUA